AGGGACUUAGCACAAUUGGCUAGUGCAGCGGAUUCCAAAUCCGCAGGUUCUGGGUUCGAAUCCCAGGGUCCCUGCCA
rnacentral:tRNA from 2 species